rnacentral:lncRNA from 1 species
UCUGCGGUUUCCUUUCUUCACCAAAAAGGGGUGAUACUUGGGUGUCGUUUUAUAUCAACCAUGGCUAAUCUAUUUCUAAACACCAAAAAGGUGGUGAGAGGGUGUCUGUCCUUGGUCCUUGUGUUGUGUCAGUAGCAGCAGCACUCGUCCAGCUGUACAGCUGCACAGAGGACUGGAUCUGGCUGACUGCUGAGGAUGCAUCUCCAUGUGCUGACACAAAGCGUGGAGGACAGACAGGAUUGCCAUCCUUGGGCUUCUCCACUGCAACUCAGAGAGUCCUGGGGCCCCUGUGCCUUUCCUGCUUUGGGGACACUGGCAGAAUAAAGGUGGAACCGCCAGCAAGCACAUUCCUGGAGCUCCACAGAGGAUACUGCCCUGCUCAUUGUUGCCACUCUUGCUGA